AUACAUUUCUCGGCCUUUUAGCUAAUAUCAAAGUGUAGUAUUUGUCCUUAUCAGUUUAAUAUCUGAUAUGUGAAUCAUUGAUUCAUAUAAUAUUAAAUUUACUUUUUUAGGGAGAGGGCUCAUCACAACAGCUUGCUAUUGGAGUCCUUGAGCGUUGCCUGUAUGAUGCACUAUAGCACAGGCCUGGUGCAUCCCUC
rnacentral:snRNA from 1 species